rnacentral:lncRNA from 1 species
UCUGCCCUAUUCUUCCUCUCUUCACCGAAAUUGCCUCUUUUCUUCCCAAAUUUACAUCUCCAUUCCGGCUGCUCCUCGCUCUUCCGUGCCUCUUCUAUGUUCCUGCUUCUCUAUCUUCCUCUCUUCUCUCUUAUCCUGAUUUCCCCUCUUCUAUCUUCUAUCUUCUGUUUUUCUAUUUUCUCUAGCUCCUCUCUUCUUCUUUCUAGUUUCUUUUUUUUUUUUCUAUUUUCUCCUCUUCUAUUUUCUCUUCAAUUCUCUCCUCUAUUUUUCUAUUAUUUUCUGGCCUUCUAUUUUCUUUUCUUCUAUACUUUUCUAUUUCCUUUUUUCUAUUUUCUGCUCUUCUGUUUUCUAUUUUUUUCUAUUUUCUCUUCUACCGAUUUCUAUUUUUUUCUAUUACUUCCCAUUGUUUCCUCCUCUCUUCUUUU